CUUCCCAGCAGCUCCCCAGCACCACAAUCAAUAAACAAUAAAAAGCAUAUUAGGAAGUUCGUUGAUACCGGCACCACCAUUGCCAUCUUCUCUCUCCAGAAAAGUGAUCAAGACACCGGCCACCCCUCCCCUCACUCCCUAACAGAUCUUUUCCCUCACACCUCGAGCAUAGGUAAUCACAUAAGAAAAGAAAUUAAAGAGACCCUUCGUAAAUGUCUCUGAACUUGGGUUUCAUCUUUUUGGAAGAAUCAAA
rnacentral:lncRNA from 1 species